UUCAACAAAAGUACUCAGUCCACUUGUUGUGCUAGGAAAAGGCAGACCCCCAUCUCUGAGGAGAGUAUCCAGGAUGGAGAGAGAACUGCGAAAAGUUAAGGAGAAGACGAAGAAAGCGCAGGGGAAGGGAAAACACAAACAGCGAGAUGGGGAAGAGAAUCCAGUAGCGGACACUUGCAGGAAGCUAUUUGGCCCUUUCGAUUUGGACGUCUCCAAUGUUGGACACCUGCAGGAGGCUAAUGCAGAAAGCAUACCAGCUGUUGAGUUUAGUCAAACCUAGCCUCGAGAAACAGUACUUCAAAGUCAAGAAAGCAUGUAAUUUCAGUUUGAUGAAUCACAACCACAACAAUGAUAUGAUUAUUGUGGAAGUCUAGGCCUGCAGAAUGGAAGCAGUUUUGAGUACUUGAUGAGCUGGAUUUAUUUAGUGUAUAGCGGAAACCAUGCAUAUGUAUAAGUUGGUUGCUAUUCUAGAGUUGGAUUGAUUUUAGUUCAAUGUUUUGGUGGGUUCAUGAGUUGUGCUGUAUGCACGGGGCAUUUAAUGUGAUUGUGUAAUCUGCUCAAUUUAUUGUGUAUUUUGCUUCUGGGCAUUGAGGAUGUAACAGGAGCUAUUUUUG